UACGUAGGGUCCGAGCGUUGUCCGGAAUUAUUGGGCGUAAAGAGCUCGUAGGCGGUCUGUCGCGUCGGCUGUGAAAACUCAGGGCUCAACCCUGAGCCUGCAGUCGAUACGGGCAGACUAGAGUUCGGUAGGGGAGACUGGAAUUCCUGGUGUAGCGGUGAAAUGCGCAGAUAUCAGGAGGAACACCGGUGGCGAAGGCGGGUCUCUGGGCCGAAACUGACGCUGAGGAGCGAAAGCGUGGGGAGCAAACAGG
rnacentral:rRNA from 1 species